CCAGUGGAUAGCAACAUCUUUUGUUGUAAAUCCUCAAUCAGGCCUAGGUGUAGCGGCAGAAUCUGCAAACAUCAUAACGUACCAAAGAUUUUUCAUGCGAUUUGAACUGCCGUAUUCAGCGAUACGGGGAGAAACACUUAUUCUUCAGAUUACAAUUUUUAAUUACAGGAACGAAGAUUUAAAAGUUCACGUGAAUCUCAACAUAAAUGUCAACCUAACCUUUGUAGAUGUGAAAGGCAAUAUAGUUGUGCCUACGGGUACAGCAUGGACAAAGGUA